rfam:[Eubacterium] angustum strain DSM 1989 ETAN_contig000014, whole genome shotgun sequence.
UGGGGUAUCGCCAAGCGGUAAGGCAUCAGACUUUGACUCUGACAUGCGUAGGUUCAAAUCCUGCUACCCCAG